GCGGUUUACUGUGGCUCUUUGGUGCCCAGGAAGAGCCCUGCAUCAGGAGGAAGAUGGUGGAGGUACUGACUAUGGCUCUACCUCUUGCUUCCAAGAGAACUUGGACAAGUCACGUGACUUCUCUGAUCUUCAGCGUUACCAUGUAGCAUCGGACAAGAUCUAGGUGUCCUUGGAGUCAUUUGGAGCUGGUGACUCCUUCCUGUUAAUGGAUGGUGAGCAGGGGCAAGAUCUGGCAUGCCUCCAUGGCCGACUCAGAGCCCACCGUUCUAGAUGGCAAAAUAACAAGAUGGGGAACUGCUUGACCCAUAUGGGAUUCACAGGCAUGAAGAAUAAAGUAUAUGAUAAGCCA